rnacentral:rRNA from 1 species
UACGUAGGGGGCUAGCGUUGUCCGGAUUUAUUGGGCGUAAAGAGCGUGUAGGCGGCCAUGUAGGUCCGGUGUGAAAACUCGAGGCUUAACCUCGAGAUGUCAUCGGAAACCAUUUGGCUAGAGUCCGGAAGAGGAGAGUGGAAUUCCUGGUGUAGCGGUGAAAUGCGCAGAUAUCAGGAGGAACACCAAUGGCGAAGGCAGCUCGCUGGGACGUGACUGACGCUGAGACGCGAAAGCGUGGGGAGCAAACAGG